rnacentral:rRNA from 1 species
UACUACAGUGAAACUGCGAAUGGCUCAUUAUAUAAGUUAUCGUUUAUUUGAUAGUGCCUAUCCUACAUGGAUAACAGUGGUAAUUCUAGAGCUAAUACAUGCUAAAUGCUCCGACUUCGGAAGGAGCGUAUUUAUCAGAUUAAAAACCAAUGCCCUUUGGGCUUCUUGGUGGCUCAUGAUAACUUCCACAGAUCGCAUGGCCUAGUGCCGGCGAUGGCUCAUUCAAAUUUCUUCCCUAUCAACUUUCGACGGUAGGGUCUUGGCCUACCGUGGUUGUAACGGGUGACGGAGGGUUAGGGCUCGACCCCGGAGAGGGAGCCUGAGAGACGGCUACCACAUCCAAGGAAGGCAGCAGGCGCGCAAAUUAUCCAAUCCCGACACGGGGAGAUAGUGACAAUAAAUAUCGAUACGGGGCUCUUUUGGGCCCCGUAAUUGGAAUGAGUACAAUUUAAACCUCUUAACGAGGAACAAUUGGAGGGCAAGUCUGGUGCCAGCAGCCGCGGUAAUUCCAGCUCCAAUAGCGUAUAUUAAAGUUGUUGUGGUUAAAAAGCUCGUAGUCGAACCUCGGGCUCGGCCGGCCGGUCCGCCUCACCGCGUGCACUGGCCCGGCCGGGCCCUUCCCUCUGCGGAACCGCAUGCCCUUUACUGGGCGUGUCGGGGAGGCAGGACUUUUACUUUGAAAAAAUUAGAGUGCUCAAGGCAGGCCAAUGCUCGGAUACAUUAGCAUGGAAUAAUGAAAUAGGACGUUCGGUUCUAUUUUGUUGGUUUCUAGGACCGCCGUAAUGAUCAAUAGGGACGGUCGGGGGCAUCAGUAUUCAGCCGCGAGAGGUGAAAUUCUUAGACCGGCUGAAGACUAACUACUGCGAAAGCAUUUGCCAAGGACGUUUUCGCUGAUCAGGAACGAAAGUUAGGGGAUCGAAGACGAUCAGAUACCGUCGUAGUCUUAACCAUAAACGGUGCCGACUGGGGAUCGGGCGCUGUUCCUUUUAGACGCGCUCGGCACCCUUCGAGAAAUCAAAGU